AUGUACGGUAAAACGUUCACUAGGUGCAGGCGCGCGCGUGAUGUCCGGCGAGCAGUCGAGCGCGCGGCCACAGAGCGGGCAGCAGCGCAUGCUGCAAAUCAGCCACAGAUAGCAAGUGGCUAAGAUUAGGGAAGUUGGCUAAGAUUAGGAAAGAAGCAGUCUAUCAGGCUAGAGAGAAUCAAGGAGACUUGCUCCAUUUGUAAUUGGCCACCGGCCAUAUAUUCAUGUAUGCAGCACGAUUACUAGCAGAAAAGAAUUUAUCCUUCUUCUACCUCUAGCCUCUUAAGCCUGCGGUUAGGGGGGCAUAACCCCGACCGGAGAAGACGGCCGACGGCUACGAGCUACGUAGCCGAGGUCCGGCGAGUCAGGGAUUCCAGGUCCUUGACAGCUUGGUAUCACGAGUCCGGCGAUCUUCGUCCAGCAAUUCCCAGCCCACCGAACCCCCCACCAGCCACACACCACCUCUAUCACCCACCCGUUCCGCUGCCUCCAGCGCCAUGUCUGAGUACACCCUUGCCGACGUAGUGGAGAUGAUGAAGGCGAUGCAGGCCGACAUCUCCGGUCUGAAGGAGAAGUCCGCGUCGUCGUCCUCCGGCGGCGCCAUGCAUGAACGCCCGCGCGACGCCGACCGCCCGCCGAAAUUCCAGAAAUGGGACUUCCCUCGGUUUGAUGGCAAAACCGAUCCUCUCCUCUUCAUCAACAAGUGUGAGUCAUAUUUUCGCCACCAUUGUUCCUCGCCGGAGGAGCAAGUGUGGAUGGCCUCAUACAAUCUCGAGGGCAUCGCGCAACACUGGUACAUUCAGCUGCAAGAAGAUGACGGCACCCCGUCAUGGCGCCGGUUCAAGGAGCAGCUCAACCUGCGCUUCGGGCCGAACAGCCGGUCCGCGCCUUUCUUCGAGCUCACCGAGUGCCGCCGCACCGGCUCGGUCGAAGAGUACUCCAACCGUUUCCAGGAACUCCUACCCCACGCCGGUCCAAUGGAGGAGGCGCAGCGCGUCCAGCUCUACACGGGGGGGUUGUUGCCGCCGCUCAGCCACUCGGUGCGGAUCCUCCACCCCGACACUCUCAGCGCCGCGAUGAGCCUGGCGCGGGAGGUGGAACAGCUGGAGAUCGCUCGCGUCCAGGCGGCGACAAGGCCGGCAGCGCGCGGUCUUCUGCCGGCGCCCCCUCCACGACCAGCCGCUCCGACGCUGCCGGCGCCACCACCUCACUUGGCUCUGCCAGCGCCGCCGGUGGGUGCGGCCCAAGCACGAGGCGAGGGCUCUCGCCGCCUGUCACCCGAGGAGAUGGCGGAUCGUCGUCGGCAAGGCUUAUGUUUCAAUUGCAACGAGAAGUAUUCUCGGGGCCACAAUCGUUUUUGUAGGCGUCUCUUUUUUGUGGAUGGGGUGGAGAUCGAUGACACCGGGGACGACACGGACACAGGCGCGACCGAGCCCAACGCCCCGCUCUUCUCCCUGCAGGCGGUGGCCGGGGUUGCGCCGGCUGACACCAUGCAGAUCGCGGUCACCCUCGGUCCGGCCUCCCUGGUGGCGCUGCUCGACUCGGGCAGUACACACAACUUCAUCUCCGCGACGGCAGCACACCAGUCAGGCCUCCCCAUCCAGCGCCGUCCACGCCUCACGGCCAUGGUGGCCAACGGCGAGCGGAUCUCCUGUGCCGGCGUCCUUCGCAACGCGCCGCUCCUCGUCGAGGGCGCACCAUACCCGGCCGAUCUCUUCGUCAUGCCGUUGGCCGGGUACGACGUCGUCCUCGGAACGCGCUGGCUAGGGGCCCUGGGACCGCUCGUGUGGGACCUCGCCACCCGCCGCAUGACGUUCCAGCGCCCAGGGCGCUCGGUCUCCUGGACGGGCAUCCCACGCGCAGCGCAGCCGGCGGUGCGCACCAUGACAGGGGGGGAUGCGCUAAUGGAGGCUCUCCUGGACUCGUUUGGGGGGCUCUUCGCCGCCCCUUCGGGCUUACCUCCCAAGCGCGCCCACGACCAUCGCAUCCUCCUCAAGCCCGACGCGCCGCCGGUGGCUGUCCGCCCGUACCGCUACCCGGCGGCCCACAAGGACGAGCUGGAGCGUCAGUGCGCCGCGAUGAUCGAGCAAGGGAUCGUGCGCCGCAGCGACUCCCCGUUUUCAUCACCAGUCCUCUUGGUCAAGAAGCCCGAUGGCUCCUGGCGUUUCUGCGUCGACUACAGAGCCCUGAACGCACUCACCAUCAAAGACGCGUUCCCAAUCCCGGUGGUAGAGGAGCUGCUCGACGAGCUCCACGGCGCCAAGUUCUUCACCAAGCUCGACCUUCGGUCCGGCUACCACCAGGUGCGGAUGCGGCCGGAGGAUGUGCACAAGACCGCCUUCCGCACGCACGAUGGACUGUACGAGUUCCUCGUGAUGGCGUUCGGGCUCUGCAACGCCCCCGCUACGUUCCAGGCGCUGAUGAACGACGUGCUCCGACCGUUCCUCCGCCGUUUCGUCCUGGUAUUUUUUGACGACAUUCUAAUUUAUAGCAAGACCUGGGCCGAUCACCUCCGCCAUCUCCGUGCGGUUCUCGACGAGCUGCAGCGACACCAGCUCUUCGUCAAGCGCUCGAAGUGCUCCUUCGGCGCGCCGGCCGUCUCCUACCUCGGCCACAUCAUCUCGGCAGCCGGGGUGGCAAUGGAUCCGGCCAAGGUGGCUGCCAUCCGCGACUGGCCGCCACCUCGCUCGGUCCGGGCAGUUCGCGGCUUCCUCGGCCUCGCCGGGUACUACCGCCGCUUCGUCCACAACUACGGCACCGUGGCUGCCCCGUUGACGGCCCUCCUCAAGAAGGAUGGCUUCGUCUGGGACGACGCGGCUAUGGCAGCGUUCGCGGCACUCAAGGCAGCCGUGUCCUCCGCCCCGGUGCUCGCCAUGCCGGACUUCAGCAAGCCGUUCGUGGUGGAGUGCGACGCGUCCUCCACAGGGUUCGGCGGGGUGCUUGUCCAGGAGGGACACCCGGUCGCGUUCUUCAGCCGGCCAAUCGCCCCCCGGCAUCGCGCCCUCGCCGCCUAUGAGCGCGAACUCAUCGGCUUAGUCCAGGCCGUUCGCCAUUGGCGGCCAUACUUGUGGGGCCGACACUUCACCGUCAAGACUGACCAUUUCAGUCUCAAGUACCUCCUCGACCAGCGGCUGGCCACCAUCCCUCAACACCAUUGGGUGGGGAAGCUCCUGGGCUUCGACUUCGAGGUGGAAUACCGCUCGGGUGCCACGAACACCGUCGCCGACGCCCUGUCCAGAAAGGACACCGAGGAGGGCGCGCUGAUGGCUAUAUCCGCACCCCGCUUCGACUUCAUCGCGCGGCUACGCCAAGCCCAAGCUACGGACCCGGCCCUCGUCGCCAUCUGCGAGGAUCUUCGCGCGGGCACACGUACGACGCCGUGGUCCAUCAUGGGCGGGAUGGUCGCCAUGCAUGGGCGCCUCUACAUCCCGGCGUCGUCCCCUCUUCUGCAGGAAAUAGUGGCUGCCAUCCACGACGAUGGCCACGAAGGCGUCCUCCGCACACUACACCGGCUGAAGCGCGACUUCCAUUUUCCAAACAUGCGUCGUGUUGUGCAGGAUUUCGUCAAGGCGUGCGGCACGUGCCAAAAGUACAAGUCUGAUCACUUGCGGCCGGCCGGUCUUCUACAGCCCUUGCCGAUCCCCUCGGCGGUGUGGGCGGACAUCGGCAUCGAUUUCAUCGAGGCGCUGCCCAGCGCCCAAGGCAAGACGGUCAUCCUCACCGUCGUCGACCGCUUCAGCAAGUACUGCCAUUUCAUCCCGCUGGCGCACCCGUACACGGCGGAAUCGGUGGCGCAGGCGUUCUUCGCCGAAGUGGUGCGGCUGCACGGCGUUCCGCAGUCCAUCGUCUCGGACCGUGACCCCGUGUUCACUUCGGCCUUCUGGACCGAACUGAUGGAGCUCACGGGCACCAAGCUCUUCAUGUCCUCCGCCUUCCACCCCCAGACAGACGGCCAGUCGGAGGCAGCCAACCGCGUCAUCGCCAUGUACCUUCGCUGCUUCACCGGCGACCGCCCUCGACAGUGGCUCAGGUGGCUUCCGUGGGCGGAGUACACCUACAACACUGCCUUCCAGUCAUCACUCCGCGACACGCCAUUCCGGGUGGUGUACGGCCGCGACCCGCCAACCAUCCGGUCCUAUGAGCCGGGCGAUGCGCGCGCUCCCGCGGUGGCGCAAGAGAUGGAGGAGCGCGCUGCCUUCCUCGACGACGUCCGCUACCGUCUCCACCAGGCUCAAGAGUCCCAGCGCCGCGCCUACGAUCAGCACCACAGGAGAGUCAUCUACCAGGUGGGCGACUGGGCCCUUCUUCGCUUACGGCAGCGGCCGUCCGCGACACUGCCGCGCUCGGCAGCGGGCAAGCUCAAGCCGCGCUAUGUCGGGCCCUACCGCGUCAAGGAAGUCAUCAACGACGUGGCCGUCCGCCUACAGCUCCCGGCCGGCGCCAGACUCCACGACGUCUUCCACGUGGGGGUCCUCAGGAAGUUUGUGGGGGCGCCACCAUCCGAACCUCCGGUGCUGCCGGCCACGCUCAACGGCGCCACCGUGUCUGCACCUGCACGUGUCUUGGCUGGCCGCCUAGCUCGCGGCGUUAAACAAGUCCUGGUCCAGUGGCAGGGUGAACCAGCGACGGCAGCAACAUGGGAGGAACUUGAAGACUUCACGGCCAGCUUUCCGCAGUUCCAGCUCGAGGACGAGCUGGUUUUCGAGGCCGGGAGAGAUGUCAUGUACGGUAAAACGUUCACUAGGUGCAGGCGCGCGCGUGAUGUCCGGCGAGCAGUCGAGCGCGCGGCCACAGAGCGGGCAGCAGCGCAUGCUGCAAAUCAGCCACAGAUAGCAAGUGGCUAAGAUUAGGGAAGUUGGCUAAGAUUAGGAAAGAAGCAGUCUAUCAGGCUAGAGAGAAUCAAGGAGACUUGCUCCAUUUGUAAUUGGCCACCGGCCAUAUAUUCAUGUAUGCAGCACGAUUACUAGCAGAAAAGAAUUUAUCCUUCUUCUACCUCUAGCCUCUUAAGCCUGCGGUUAGGGGGGCAUAACCCCGACCGGAGAAGACGGCCGACGGCUACGAGCUACGUAGCCGAGGUCCGGCGAGUCAGGGAUUCCAGGUCCUUGACAUAUCAGUAUUCAGUUGCAAACACAUAUGGUUAGAAAUAAAUAAGACUAUCAGAAGAACGAACACAAGUAUUGUAUAUCAGAACAAUAAAUUGCUGUUGCAACCGUGCUGCUGAAAAAUCAUGGUAGUAAAAUGUGAUACUGUGGCUUUGCUAGCAGGGUUGGCCGGAAUGGUGAAAAUAGCAAUAGAAAUUAGCAGGUUAAGCAGUUGAGAGGCUCACGGAAGAUAGAGGAAUUCUACACAUUUUUUGCUUAUUUUUACCGGAAAGUGGAGAGAUUAUACACGGCAAGGAAACAUAUGUGGGUUGUAGUUUCACUUAAAAUAGCCAUGAUGUAAUUUUUAGUUCUUUUGUCUAUCAGAUAUCUAGAGUGGUUCUGCUUAUUCAAUAGCAGCGCAUAGUACCUUUAAAUAAUGUUGUUCAUUUUUUAGUAAAAAGGAUGGGGAAGUUGAGAUUAAUGAUGUCUGAUUUGCACAUCCUUCGCGCACUUCUUAUAUGAUAGUACUAUGCAUAUGACAUGUCUAUUUACCAAAUUUGACAUUUUCGUUAUAUAUCUCUACUACUUAUUAAGGCUGCAAGGGUAGUCUGCCUCCUUUUGGUUCUGCCUUUCGAUAAUCUCUAC
rnacentral:lncRNA from 1 species